GAUAAACGCUGGCGGCGUGCAUAACACAUGCAAGUCGAACGAAGUGGCGAACGGGUGAGUAACACGUGAGUAACCUGCCUUACACAAGGGGAUAGCCUUUGGAAACGAAGAAUAAUACCCUAUAGUGUAAGAUGGACUUGCGUCUGAUUAGUUAGUUGGUGAGGUAACGGCUCACCAAGACAGCGAUCAGUAGCCGGCUUGAGAGAGUGUACGGCCACAUUGGGACUGAGACACGGCCCAGACUCUACGGGAGGCAGCAGUGGGGAAUUUUGCACAAUGGGGGAAACCCUGAUGCAGCGACGCCGCGUGAUUUAGAAGGCCUUCGGGUUGUAAAAAUCUUUUCUAUGGGAAGCAGUACCAUAGGAAUAAGGACCGGCUAAUUACGUGCCAGCCGCCGCGGUAAUUC
rnacentral:rRNA from 1 species